CGGCCUUCACAAUAAACCUAUUUGAAACCCAUUUCCCCUGUAUAACGAGAACUCCUCCAUCUCUUUCCCAACUUCUCUCUCAAAUCAGAUAAUCGGUCGGUCAGUUUAUCUCGGCUCCACCGCACCUCCACCUCGUUACAGCUCUUUCCGUCAAACGCACAGACCCAUCUUCUCGCCCCAGAUGCUCCAUUAGCUUCUCUCACUCCCAUCAACACAAGGGCUACUGCACUCCUUCCUUUCACGGCCAAAUUCUCAACUGCAACAAAACAAAUCUCUGUUUCUAUCUCGCAGAACCCAUUUCUGCCCUCAGAGUACAAGAAGAAAAAGGAAGCAGACCACCGUUUCAUCAUUUAGAAAACUUGGUAUCAAUUUGCUGCGAUUCAGUCCCUGAAUCACCUGUGCUGCCAUUCCUCGAAUAGCUAUUUACAUUCUCUUGUUCCUAAAGUUGGAGGUACUGUUAAGUAUUUUUGUAAGUAAAAUCUCAAAUUGGGUUAAAAUAUUAAUUUGUUUGUCAUUAUUUAGAUUUUAUAUUUGCUUGUCAUGGAGCCUAGCUAUUUCCUCUUAAUUUGUUAAAUUCUGGAAAUGUCAAUUAGUUGACGUAUGGCCUCAAAAAGACUGAGUUCUUGUUAAGUGGUGAUUGGGUUUUUCUUUUCUAUACAUAUAUGCUGAGACUUGAUUUGUUAAAUUCUGGAAAUUUCAAUUAGUUGAUGUAUGGCUUCAAAAUGGAAUUUUGAGACCGAUUUCUUGUUAAGUGGUGAUAGGGUUUCUCUUUUCUGGACAUAUAUGCUGGGACUUGAUUUGUUCAAUUCUGGAAAUUUCAAUUAGUUUAUGUAUGGCUUCAAAAUGGAAUUUUGAGACCGAUUUCUUGUUAAGUGGUGAUAGGGUUUCUCUUUUCUGGACAUAUAUGCUGGGACUUGAUUUGUUCAAUUCUGGAAAUUUCAAUUAGUUU
rnacentral:misc_RNA from 1 species